UUUCUUCCUGAUUUUUAAAUUUUAUUUGUUUAUUAUAAAUAAUGACGUGGAAAAUGUAUUACGUGGAAUCCAAAAAGAAUUGAAAAAAAAUGUCACGUUAGUGAUACAUCAAAGAUUUUGCUGAGUCACAGGGCAUAAGGGGCAAUCUUGAAGAAUCUUUAUUUUAUAAGGAUGACAUCUAAAAAAAAAUUUAUAGGGGAAAACCAGAAGUGCUCUAUAUUACAG
rnacentral:lncRNA from 1 species